UUUUGUAGCAAUACAGAAGUAAUUCAGUGGCGAACGGGUGCGUAACACGUGGGCAAUCUGCCGAAAAGUGGGGGAUAGCUCGCCGAAAGGCGAAUUAAUACCGCAUGUGGUGAGAGAAGACAUCUUCUUGAAUCCAAAGCCGGGGCAACCUGGCGCUUUUUGAGGAGCCCGCGGCCUAUCAGCUAGUUGGUGAGGUAACGGCUCACCAAGGCUUUGACGGGUAGCUGGUCUGAGAGGACGACCAGUCACACUGGAACUGAGACACGGUCCAGACACCUACGGGUGGCAGCAGUCGAGAAUUUUUCUCAAUGGGGGCAACCCUGAAGGAGCGACGCCGCGUGGAGGAUGAAGGCUUUCGGGUUGUAAACUCCUGUCAUUUGAGAACAAGGCGCCGAUAUUAACUGUAUCGGCGUUGAUAGUAUCAGAAGAGGAAGGGACGGCUAACUCUGUGCCAGCAGCCGCGGUAAUACAGAGGUCCCAAGCGUUGUUCGGAUUCAUUGGGCGUAAAGGGUGCGUAGGUGGCGCCGUAAGUCGGGUGUGAAAUUUCGGAGCUUAACUCCGAAACUGCAUUCGAUACUGCGGUGCUUGAGGACUGGAGAGGAGACUGGAAUUCAUGGUGUAGCAGUGAAAUGCGUAGAGAUCAUGAGGAAGACCAGUGGCGAAGGCGGGUCUCUGGACAGUUCCUGACACUGAGGCACGAAGGCCAGGGGAGCAAACGGGAUUAGAUACCCCGG
rnacentral:rRNA from 1 species